rnacentral:rRNA from 1 species
GACGAACGCUGGCGGCGUGCCUAACACAUGCAAGUCGAGCGAAUGAAGUUCCUUCGGGAACGGAUUUAGCGGCGGACGGGUGAGUAACACGUGGGCAACCUACCUCAUAGAGGGGAAUAGCCUUCCGAAAGGGAGAUUAAUACCGCAUAAGAUUGUAGUACCGCAUGGUAAAGCAAUUAAAGGAGCAAUCCGCGAUGAGAUGGGCCCGCGGCGCAUUAGCUAGUUGGUGAGGUAACGGCUCACCAAGGCGACGAUGCGUAGCCGACCUGAGAGGGUGAUCGGCCACAUUGGGACUGAGACACGGCCCAGACUCCUAAGGGAGGCAGCAGUGGGGAAUAUUGCACAAUGGGGGAAACCCUGAUGCAGCAACGCCGCGUGAGUGAUGACGGCCUUCGGGUUGUAAAGCUCUGUCUUCAGGGACGAUAAUGACGGUACCUGAGGAGGAAGCCACGGCUAACUACGUGCCAGCCGCCGCCGUAA